AUGAACGCUGGCGGCGUGCCUCAUCCAUGCAAGUCGAACGAACAGACGAGGAGCUUGCUCCUCUGACGUUAGCGGCGGACGGGCGAGUAACACGUGGAUAACCUACCUAUAAGACUGGGAUAACUUCGGGAAACCGGAGCUAAUACCGGAUAAUAUAUUGAACCGCAUGGUUCAAUAGUUAAAGACGGUUUUGCUGUCACUUAUAGAUGGAUCCGCGCCGCAUUAGCUAGUUGGUAAGGUAACGGCUUACCAAGGCAACGAUGCGUAGCCGACCUGAGAGGGUGAUCGGCCACACUGGAACUGAGACACGGUCCAGACUCCUACGGGAGGCAGCAGUAGGGAAUCUUCCGCAAUGGGCGAAAGCUUGACGGAGCAACGCCGCGUGAGUGAUGAAGGUCUUCGGAUCGUAAAACUCUGUUAUUAGGGAAGAACAAAUGUGUAAGUAACUAUGCACGUCUUGACGGUACCUAAUCAGAAAGCCACGGCUAACUACGUG
rnacentral:rRNA from 1 species